UUCUGUGGCUCAAGCUACAGUUUUUAGUUUUGAUUGGAGUUACUGUGCCCAGGCUUUUUUAGCAGGAGGACUGGAUUGCUACCAGUGUCAUGUCCCAAAGCCUGGCAGCAGUUUUGAUCUGCACUGUUGUGAGAUGAAGAUGAAACCCUUCCUAACCCUCUCUGGUCAUCUGAAGAGCAGCACUGCCCUGCCUGAAAGGAGUUCUGUCCACCAGCUCAGCCGUGGGCUCAGUUUAAUCCUCUGAAAUGCCUCCGAGCGUUCUUGCCAAAAUCCAUGUGCUUUUCUUGUCCAGAACUCUCCUGACCUGAUUGAAAUGCCAGGAUUCAUUUGUGGCUCCGUGUGUCCCGUGUUUUCCUGGGCAGCAGAUUCCCUCAGCUCCAUAAAAACGGUGGGAACACAUCCAGAGGGAACGGCCCUCACUGGGAACUGAGCUUUGAUUCCUGCAGCAGCCACCUGAGGUUUCUCCUCUAAAGGGAAUUUUUGUAGAUGUGGCCCAAAGUGACUCUGAGGAAGGUGAACAUUGGGAGCUGCCCAUGAGCAGAGCCUCAGCUCUGAGCUGGCCCUAAAGUCACCAGCCCACGGGGCCAGAACCAGGUGAUCUUUGAGGUGACACCCAGCCCAAGCCAUUCUGUGAUCCUGUGACAAUGGGAAGGACCAGAAGCAGCCCAGGCAGGGGGACAGGAGGAAUCCCCCUGUCAGAGCUGCUCUUUUCUUGCAGCACUUCUGCCCUGUGGAUUGGCCAGAGUCCCAGAGCUUGGUGUUAAAUCCCCUCCACAUGAAGAGAAAAGGUGUUCUGUGAGUGCAGCUGCAGAUGCAGAAGAGGAUGAUGCAGAUGAUGAUGCAGAAGAGCUCUUGGGCAUGUUGGAGAAGGAAUUUCUGUGUCCCAAAAGGCUCCUUGGAAAUGGAGCCUCCCCCUGCAGCGCUCCCUGGGAGCCACCUCAUCCCUCUGAGGGCUCUAACUCAGCCUGGCGUGUUUGGGGUGAUCCAGGGCAGCGUGGCUGCUGCUCUGCUCUGGGAAUAUUGAUAUGGAGCACUCACUUGUCUGUGCCUUCAAUUGCAAAGGGCUUUUUAAAAUUGAUUACUGGUCUGGCUCAAGUUAUUGGAUGACCCUGUAAAUACAGAGCGAGGAUGGGCGUUUUAUGAUGUCUGACUUCCCUACAAUAUUUUUUUAUUAAGUAAACGGUAAUGGAAAUA